rnacentral:lncRNA from 1 species
AAAGGUAUUCAGUAAAAAGUAUCCCUAAAAACUGAAAGUAAAAUUAUGUACAGAUUUGGAGCAAUAACUAGAGAGGAACUAUUUCAAGUGACUUAAAAGACAAUUGUUAGAAGCAGGGUUUCUUAACCUCAGCAUGACUGACAUUUUGAGCCAGAUAAUUAUUUGUGGGGAGUGGGGGUGGGGACAGGGCAGUUGUCCUGUGCAUCAUGCGACGUUAGCAGCAUCCAAGGCUCAGCGAGCUUCUAUAAUUGGCAACAACUGGCACAUACUGCCAUACAUCAUUGCUGGGAGGAUUAAGUGCUGUCUGUGCGACACCACUGGGGGAGUGUUUUAAAAUAUAGGUUUUAGGUGGGAAGAUCAUUUGAGCUCAAGCAUUCGAGACUAGCCUGGGCAACACAGCAAGACACCCGUCUCCAAAAAAGUAAGAUAAAAAAAUAUAAAAUAUAGGUUUUAUUAUUAUUCAAGUAUGGUGAGGGCAAUAGAUCAGGUGACUGCCAUUGACAAGAAAGCUUGUUGUACUUACAGAUUCCAAAAGGGGCAUGGCACGCCACAGGGAGCCACACUGGAAGCCCAGGGUCAGUGAGGAGGUAGAGGGAACGAUGGGAUCAAGUGGAGUAAGAGCCUUGUGAUCUCCAUGGGAAGGAAGGGGCAAGGCCGAGUAAACAGACUGGCGAGUUCGAAUAAUUUCAGCAGGCUGUGGGGCCUAGGGGCUGUCCCUAGCUUUCUGGUACCUGGCCCUGCGGUGAUUAGGGCAGGUGGAUAUCCCAGAGUAUGGGAUAUUGGCUCAGAGUAUGAGACGUCCUGUAAAGGAGAGAUUGGGGUAUGGGCUCCAGAUUGGUUGGUUUACAUAUGAAAGGAGCAGUCAUAGGUGAGUCAUUUACUCUCUCCAGGAAUUGGCUAGCCUUGGGAGGAACAAUCUCUCCACCGAGUGAGCAAGGCCCCUCCCAUGUCAAAGAAUCAAACACGCACGGUUCAUAUUGAGGGUACAACUGGAAGCUUGUGCUUGUUUUCUGCUGGACUUCGCUCACGCACCUUCUCCGUUUGCUGAUUUUAAUCUGUAUCCUUUCACUAAAAUAAACAGGAAUGAUGUGUAUAGCAGCUUUUCAGAGUUCUGUGAAUCUAUCUUGUGAAUCAUCAAGCAUGAGGGUGGUCUCAGGGACCCCUGACACGGCUGCUAGAACCAUCAGGUGGAAGGUUAGUGGGGUACUUUAUAAUGGAAAAGACCAGACUGACACCACAGACCCCAUUGCUCAGUCACAGCGUGUGGAACCACCAGAUGUCACGUUCCUCUCCAUAUGAUGCAAAACAAAGAUGCAGAGUCACUCAGGAAGUACUUAUGUCAGAUCAACCGCACCUGAAUCUAAUCAAGGCUCUUUGUGUAACUGCACAUUUUUAGGAAAUACUGGGGAGACAGGAACCUUUAAACAACACUGGGAGGAAAUGAGCAGUGAAAUACAAAAUGUGGGAAAUUCUACAGGACAAAAAACCCACCUUUCAACACAGAAAAAAGGGUAACUGUUACAGAUUUAAAGAGACAAAAGACCCCAUCAAUCAAAUGCACAGUGUGGCUCUUAUUUAGAUCUUAAUUUGAACAAAUAAACAGUCAAAAUACAUUUUUGAGACAACAUGGGAAAACUGAGCAGACUACAUAUUAGAUAUUAAGGAUAUUAAUUCUGUUGGGUGAAAUACGAUGGUUAGGAUUUGCUUUAAAUGGUCAAAGAAAAAAAUAUUGGCGGGGACGAGGCAAUAGAUCAAACAAGAGCAGCAAUAAAGCUGACGUUUGCUAAGUUUGAGUGGUGGUUCAGGGAGUCCACUGUGCUAGUCUAUAUUUGUGACUAAAAAUUUCCAUAACAAGUUCAAAAAAGAAAAUGUAUUUAAAAAUUAGAAGCAGUUAUCAGCCAAAUAUAGGUUAAGAAACAUUAGUAAAAUAAAAAUCCUUUCACUUGCCGUUAAAAAUAAAAAACAGUAAAAACACAUUUUAUAAAUAUAUGAAAUCUGAGAGCCUGCCAAGAUUGCAGAGAUGUGAUUGUAAGGCACAGAUGAGAUUUUAAACCUGGGUUUUUAGAGAUUAAAAUAAAAUGUAGGAUGGUUUAAGCACCUACUUUUAGCUCUUGAGAAAACAGGUACAGUCCAAAGUGAAGCUGCCUUUAGUCUCUAGCCUUCAUGUUUUUUUUCUAGUCUCUAUUCUGAAGUCUAAAUUUGUUGGUUUUUUUGGGGGGUGAAAAUUUAACAUAAAAUUUAGGCAUAAAAAACAUUAUCCUUUUACGUUUUAAUAUAAGUCUUUAUCCUUUAAACUAAGAUCUCAUAAGAGAGAGACGCAUCAUCCUUUAGAUAAAAGCUCCCGACAGCCCAGGUGUCCCAGCUGCUGUCAUAAUGUAAGAUUUGGGGCCAGGCAAAAGAAACUGAUUAAAGCAGAAUACUGGAGAUCCUGGCCUUCAAGUAGUGAUAUUUUUGCUUUUUUUUUUUUUGAGACGGAGUUUCACUCUUAUUGCCCAGGCUGGAGUGCAAUGGCACAAUCUUGGCUCACCACAACCUCCGCCUCCUGGGUUCAAGCGAUUUUCCUGCCUCAGUCUCCCGAGUAGCUGGGAUUACAGGCAUGUACAACCACGCCCAGCUAAUUUUGUAUUUUUAGUAGAGACGGGGUUUCUCCAUGUUGGUCAUUGCCUUUUUUUUUUUUUUUUUCUUUGAGACAGAGUCUCACUUUGUUGCCCAGGUUUGAGUGCAGUGGUGCGAUCUCAGCUCACUGAAACCUCCGCCUCCCAGGUUCAAGCGAUUCUCGUGCCUCAGUCCCCCAAGUAGCUGGGACUACAGGCAUGCGCCACCACGCCCAGCU